GACGAACGCUGGCGGCGUGCUUAACACAUGCAAGUCGAACGGAAAGGCCCUGCUUUUGUGGGGUGCUCGAGUGGCGAACGGGUGAGUAACACGUGAGUAACCUGCCCUUGACUUUGGGAUAACUUCACGAAACUGGGGCUAAUACCGGAUAGGAUCUCCUGCUGCAUGGUGGGGGUUGGAAAGUUUCGGCGGUUGGGGCUGGACUCGCGGCUUAUCAGCUGGUUGGUGGGGUAGUGGCUUACCAAGGCUUUGACGGGUAGCCGGCCUGAGAGGGUGACCGGCGACAUUGGGACUGAGAUACGGCCCAGACUCCUACGGGAGGCAGCAGUGGGGAAUAUUGCACAAUGGGCGGAAGCCUGAUACAGCAAUGCCGCGUGCGUGAUGACGGCCUUCGGGUUGUAAACCGCUUUCGCCUGUGACGAGGCGUGAGUGACGGUAAUGGGUCAAGAAGCACCGGCUAACUACGUG
rnacentral:rRNA from 1 species